rnacentral:rRNA from 1 species
AUUGAACGCUGGCGGCAGGCCUAACACAUGCAAGUCGAGCGGAUGAAGGGAGCUUGCUCCUGGAUUCAGCGGCGGACGGGUGAGUAAUGCCUAGGAAUCUGCCUGGUAGUGGGGGAUAACGUCCGGAAACGGGCGCUAAUACCGCAUACGUCCUGAGGGAGAAAGUGGGGGAUCUUCGGACCUCACGCUAUCAGAUGAGCAUAGGUCGGAUUAGCUAGUUGGUGGGGUAAAGGCCUACCAAGGCGACGAUCCGUAACUGGUCUGAGAGGAUGACCAGUCAGACUGGAACUGAGACACGGUCCAGACUCCUACGGGAGGCAGCAGUGGGGAAUAUUGGACGAUGGGCGAAAGCCUGAUCCAGCCAUGCCGCGUGUGUGAAGAAGGUCUUCGGAUUGUAAAGCACUUUAAGUUGGGAGGAAGGGAAGUAAGUUAAUACCUUGCUGUUUUGACGUUACCAACAGAAUAAGCACCGGCUAACUUCGUG